CCCGGUAUGGCGAGGUAUGGCGCUCGCCAUACCUCGCUCCGGCCACCAAAACCCACAGACACAUGUAGCUGAAGUUGUGGCUUCCGAUUUGAAGGAAAGAAGUUGCCGUGUUGGUCGCCAGAUGCAAUAUUUUUAGCCACGAUCCCACUGACAUGUCUUUGUCCAUUAAUCUGAUGACCACACCGGCUCUCUCCACGCUGGCUGUGGAGGACAGCCUACAAAGGGCUCUCCUCCGGGCACAGGUCAUCUCUGAGGAGGCUGUGGGACGGCACAUCACAAAUCAAGCCAUGCUCCAGCAGUUGGGCUUGCUGAGAGAUGCCAUGCAUCGAGGCUAUUAUACACUCGAUACCUUCAGGUACCAGUCUCAGUAUGCUGAGGGCAGCAAAGAUCAAGCUGUGAGUCACUCUAUGUCCCCAUCCAAGGUGAACUCUGCUAGGAGCCCCUGUUUCUCUAGUCCAAGUGCAAAGAUCUUGGGACCACUACGAGAGGCACUUGACAGAUUGACCUCCAUGAUUGUUGAUGUGAAUGAGUUGGUCAUUUUCUUGAGGAGCUACCCUCGUCUGUAUCGCCAACCUUACAGCAUGCAUAUCCUGUUGGGUAACUGCAUGUUUGGCCGCCAGAUGGAAGUAGAACUUGUCAUUAAUUUCCUGUUGCACGAACAAUCCCAUGGUUCUGAAGAAUUGGAGGUCCUGCCAAUUGCCGGUCCAGCCAGAAUCGGGAAGAGCACCCUUGUUGCUCAUGUUUGCAAGGACGAACGAGUCCGUGAUCAUUUCUCAGAAAUCUUUUUCCUGCACAGCCAUGAGGUUACAGAUGACAAGCUAGCUUUUAGAGAAGGAUGUACAAUGAAAGAUCAGAAUACCGUGCCAAAAUCGAACAAUGAGAAGAUAUUGCUAGUUGUUGUUGAGUUACCUGGGGAUCCUAAUGAAGAUGCAUGGAGUAGGUUGUAUCAUGCUAUUAAACGGUGUGUUCCCAGCGGAAGUAAAAUCAUAGUCACCAGUCGGUCAGACAAGGUUGUAAAAUUAGGGACAACGCGGCCUAUAACUCUGGAGUAUCUGCCCGAUGAGGCGUAUUGGUAUUUCUUCAAGACGCUUACAUUUGGAAGCAUGGAUCCGGAGAUGCAUCCGAGGCUCAUGCAACUGGCCAUGGAGAUAGCCAGAAUGCAGAAUGGUUCCUUUGAUGGCGCACACAUCACUUCGUGUUUGUUAAGGGGCAACUUUGACAUUCAUUUUUGGUCCAAGGUUCUGAGCUUCUUGAGAGGGUUCGUCCAGAAGCAUGUCUCCAAAUUCGGUGAGCAUCCAGUUUAUUCUCUGGGCCAAAAUAGACCUACACAAUUUGGGAGAAUGGUUACACCUUCUCAAGAAUUUGUUGUUUCUCAUCAGUAUCAAUGCUCUUCACAAGAGGAGGUUCCAAAGAUAAGACUCCAAGAUGUGAUGUAUUCAAGUGUUAAGCCUCAUGGUGAAUUUAAUGUCCUAUCAUGGAGAUCUCAGAUACCGCCAUACUAUAGCUACAUCGCUACUUGUGAGAUUAGAGAGCCAAGAACUAAAGCUGCCAAGAGGAAGCGUUCUAUGAAAGAUGAAGUAACAGUUGGUUAGUUUCAUCAUUGUCUGGCAUAUGUAGGAAUAUAUUUUAUGUUUUUACUUUUGGUAGGCCACAAAUUACAGCAUAGUCAAAAUGAAUAAGGAUCUGGAUCUCAGAUGCGACAACAUUGUCAAAAAUUGCUAUCACUACAUUUUCAUAUGUAAAACAUUUAAUGUAAAUGUUAAUUUGUCUACAGAACGAUGAUAACGAUGAUGACGUUGAAGCAUAAA